rnacentral:rRNA from 1 species
UGGGGAAUUUUGCGCAAUGGGGGAAACCCUGACGCAGCAACGCCGCGUGAGUGAUGAAGGCCCUUGGGUCGUAAAGCUCUGUCAGUGGGAACGAAGUGCAAGCGGUUAAUAGCUGACUUGUUUGACGGUACCCACAAAGGAAGCACCGGCUAACUCC